rnacentral:rRNA from 1 species
AAGAUUAAGCCAUGCAUGUCUAAGUAUAAGCACUCUAUACUGUGAAACUGCGAAUGGCUCAUUAAAUCAGUUAUAGUUUAUUUGAUAGUACCUUACUACUUGGAUAACCGUGGUAAUUCUAGAGCUAAUACAUGCAUCAAACCCCGACUCACGAAGGGGUGUAUUUAUUAGAUAAAAACCAACGCGGGCAACCGCUUUUCUGGUGAUUCAUAAUAACUUCUCGAAUCGCAU